rnacentral:sRNA from 1 species
UAGCUUAGUGAGUGGAGAAAUUCGAAAAUAAAUAUACUUUUUCCAUUUUACGUUUUUAUCAAAAAUUGAAUUCAUAUAAUUGAAUAAUUGAUAAGAUAACAUCAUAUAAUUAUAGUCAAAACGUGAGACAUUCACAUAAUAUCAUAAAAUAUCAUCUCAAAGUCAAGCUAUAAACAACAACUGAUAACUAUACUAUAAUCUCAUCAUAUCAAAUAUACUGAAAAAUCCACAAACAAUGUACUCUCUGACUGAAAUCUGUAAUCCGCUCCUCGGGUUAAAUUUGGCCCCCUACAUGAACGAAAGCCAAUCUCAAGACCUCUGGGUUUUAAUUCUAGAACACGGUCAAUACCCCUCAAUGAACCAUAUGUACACAGUCAAGACCUUUCAAGCCCCUCUGUGAACUAGAAGAAGUAUAUAAUCGUGAGUACUUUUCUGGUCGAUCUCAAUAUCACUUAUCACAUUCCAAUUCAUAAGUAAUCCAUGUACAACUUUAAUGAUUUCAUGUAUAUCAUAAUAAAAGAACAUUUCAUAAUAAUCAUGAAAUUAUACAAGAAAUUCACAUAAUUGCACAUAAUGUAAUAUUAUAAUUAAUAUAUUAGUUUUUAAAAAUAUAUAAGUUUUUUCACUCAUAGAACUAUGUACGCAAAAUCAACUCGGUUGGUAAACUCUCUCAAUAUUCGUAUAGUCGCCUAAAAUAUAAUAUAAUUUUUAGAUUAACAAUUAACUAUUUUAAAUAAUUUCAAUAAUUAAAUAAAUAAUAUCAAAACUUAAUCCUUUCAAGUUUAAGCGAUUUCUAAAGUUUCUUUAAUCACUUAAGCUAAUUUUUCCUUCACUUACAUAGCUUAUUAUACUUAAUUCAAUAGUUCCCUUCCAAUAAAAUUGAAUUUAAACUAAUAACCUAUCAAUUAUAAAAUUAAACAUAACUAGGCAAUAAGUAACUUUUUACUUACCUUUAAAUUGAAGAAUUCAAGCCUACUAGUAGAAAGCGCUUAUUUUCUAACAACGUAGACGAAAUUUGCUAUUUUUCUUUUCUUUUUUCUCCCUCUCUC